rnacentral:Y_RNA from 1 species
GGCUGGUCCGAGUGCAGUGGUGUUUACAACUAAUUGAUCACAACCAGUUACAGAUUCCUUUGUUCCUUCUCCACUCCCACUGCUUCACUUGACUAGCCUUUA